rnacentral:rRNA from 1 species
UACAGAGGUCUCAAGCGUUGUUCGGAUUCAUUGGGCGUAAAGGGUGCGUAGGCGGCGCGGUAAGUCGGGUGUGAAAUCUCGGAGCUUAACUCCGAAACUGCAUUCGAUACUGCCGUGCUUGAGGACUGGAGAGGAGACUGGAAUUUACGGUGUAGCGGUGAAAUGCGUAGAUAUCGUAAGGAAGACCAGUGGCGAAGGCGGGUCUCUGGACAGUUCCUGACGCUGAGGCACGAAGGCCAGGGGAGGCAAACGGG